rnacentral:rRNA from 1 species
CCCUACGGGAGGCAGCAGUGGGGAAUAUUGGACAAUGGGCGCAAGCCUGAUCCAGCCAUGCCGCGUGAGUGAUGAAGGCCCUAGGGUUGUAAAGCUCUUUCACCGGGGAAGAUAAUGACGGUACCCGGAGAAGAAGCCCCGGCUAACUUCGUGCCAGCAGCCGCGGUAAUACGAAGGGGGCUAGCGUUGUUCGGAAUUACUGGGCGUAAAGCGCACGUAGGCGGACAUUUAAGUCAGGGGUGAAAUCCCGGGGCUCAACCUCGGAACUGCCUUUGAUACUGGGUGUCUUGAGUAUGGAAGAGGUAAGUGGAAUUGCGAGUGUAGAGGUGAAAUUCGUAGAUAUUCGCAGGAACACCAGUGGCGAAGGCGGCUUACUGGUCCAUUACUGACGCUGAGGUGCGAAAGCGUGGGGAGCAAACAGGAUUAGAUACCCUAGUAGUC